UAAACCUCCCAGAAACUUGUUUCAAAAAGCAAGCCAAGAAACUGGGAAAACAAUGUGCAGUUUAAGAAAAGGAUAUAUGAAGUUGCUCAUCCAUAGAUCCUCUGCUGUUCUCUGUGCUUUUGAGGAAAAUGAGAGUUUGCUUUCCCCUGUUGUCUGCCUGUGCAACAGAGAGCAGCAGUGUCUCAGCACUUCUUUGGAUCAGAAAGUCAUAAUUCAGCCUUUGGGGUAUGUAACUGUGUCACAAGUAGUAUUGCCAGUAAAUGAACUCAGCCUGCGCUGUCAACAGUAACUGGUGGUCCCGCUAAGAAAGGCUUUGUGACUUUGUCCCGGAGAGUUGUGCUCAUGCUGUGUUCUACUGUCAGAAAGCUAUUCUGUCUCAUUCGCUCUCGGCCUCCAUCUCUUAGACUGAGUACAUACGCAAAGAGGAAGUGUAUCACAAAUGCAUGCAGACAAGCUUGCCCAUGAAUCAGAGGAGAUUAGAUUUGUUCAGCGCACACACACACACACACAUAUGCUCUCGACUUCACCCUUUGUAAACUUUGCACUGCUACACUCUGUGUCAUUCCUGUUGUCAUUCUAAUUUCAUCUGAGGAACCCUGCCAAGGCAAUAAUGAACCCAAGUCAUGAGGCAGGGGCCAUGCUGAGUGGUUGUGAGUCAAUGUGUGUGUAUGUUUGUGUGUGUGGUGGAGAGAAAAUGAGAGGGAAGGUAAAUGGAGGAAAAGACGGCGUUAAAGAGACAGGCUGGCCAGAUUUACACCCGUUGUUUGUGUGCCUUGUGUGUGCGUGUGUGUGUUUCUGUGUGCCAUGUGUAACGUUAUGCUGGUUUUAAAUUAAUCAGUGCAGUGGGGUGUAUCAUCUAAGCCGCUGUAAUGUGUCGACUCCUUUAUUCGAUUUGAGCAGUAAUCUUAGAACUCCCCACUGGCCUGCCUUCAUCAGCCCCCUACUACAAAGCUAGCUUAACUUAGCCACAGAGGCACACAGGGAGAAAUGCUAAAGAGAUGAGCCAUUUGUCUGGAUCACGAUUAUGUUUAAACAAGUGUAACUAGGCUAAAUUCCCUCAUUAUAUGGGUAUUAUGGUCAAGAUGGACCUUGUUUGUUGAAGCAGGGAAUUAGAAAGAUGAAGAUAAUGUAACAAAGAUUUAUGAAUAAUCCUUAAGUUAUAUGUAUCUGUGUUAAAGUGAUGACUACCCUUGUGUUUGCCCCUUUUUCGCAGUGAACUUCAGCACCACGGACAGCAGCUUGCAGUCACCAAUCUGUUUUCCUCUGGGACUUCACUGCGCUUGUCCUGUGUGACUGGAGGUUCUGCACUUUUGUGUGAGCCAGAGUGAAUCACACCAUCAGGCAACAGGCAGAGAUAAGGUAAUGUAAGGUCAAUUUUAUUUACAAAGUGCCUUUUGAAACAAGAAGUGGCCUAAAGGUUAGAGAACAGAAGACUAGAACAGGAUAAAUUCAGAUGUGAAAAGUGAAAGCGGCAAAGAGCCAAGGGGCUGCCGAGCAAGGCACUUAAAAGAUGAGAUUGUAGUUGUACUGAGCUGAUUAAGGUCUAAAUAUGUGGAAGCGUGAGUGUGAUUGGAAUGUUUAACUUUCCUGAAUGCAUAAAUAAAGGUUGAAAAAGAAAGUUACUAUGGAUUUAACUUUGCUAAAGUUAAACUUUUAAACAAUGUUCUUCUAUCUAAAAUGAACCAAACUAAAAUGAACUUUUAAAAUGCAAUUUCUCUUUCACUUUGUUUUCAUAGCUACUCUUACAGGAGGCUAUUGUUCACUUUAAUGCCUUUACUUGUAUAGUUUUUAUCACCUUGGAGGAGGCUGUUUGUCAAAUAAAAUUUGGAGAAAAUUCUGCCAUCAUUCUUUAAACCUCCUGAAACUCAUUGAGUUGGGUCGCUUUCCUUCAACAAAGACAGAGUGAACCUCUCCUUCCAUAUUUCAAACUACAGUGUUAUUAUUCCACCAGUUUUACGCUUUCAUCUCAGCAUGGUGACGACCCCCUGCCCACAACCAGCACCACCCCACCCUCCCGGUAAUGUCAUAUCACACGCUGUACUGCUGACACUGCCCCCCCCCUCUUCAUCCCACCCCGCCCCACCGGGACCGGCGGCAGCGGGUGCCAAACCGCCCCCAGGAACCCGCGCCGAGGACGCAGCCAUGCCGAGCGAGGACACUCGGCAGCCGGACCGCCGCCUCGCCUCAACCGUCUCCAGCGCUUCACAGAGGAGCAAGAUGCCAUGAGAUUUCCCACAGGCCGUCAACGGCAUCUGGUUGUGAGUGAACCGGGGGGAAAGAGGGGAUAACCGACGGCGGAUAAUGACGUGAUGGUUCCGGUUGUAGAGCGAGCACAGGGGGGCUCCUGGCGUCUUUAAUGACCGGUGCUGGAGAGGAAAUCACCGGACUUUAUUGUGUGUGGAGCUGCGAGUACGACACUGGACCGACCGCAGUUAUUAAAAAAAAGAAACGGUCUCUCAAACAGGUUGCUGAGAUUUCCUUCCAUCUGAAAGGUAAGGCAUCAUCAUGGAUUUACAAUCAUCCGUGCGCCACUGAACGGCUCUGCGCAUCAAUUUAUCCGCUUAAUUGAGUAAAAAUGAGGCCAAUCAGUGAUGUAACAGCUGGUAAAUUGACCUCCAGCCACCACUUCAGUUAAACAUAGGCUCUAUUUGUUUCAGGAAAGUAUUAAUUUACGUUUUUAUCAUUCAAAGAGCUCGUACAUACUCUAGUUGACAUUACUUGCAAAUGGUGUGGACCCUGAGUUAGUCACAAUACUGGACAGUAAGGUGAGUGAAAUCGAUUUUACCCUCCAUCCAAUUCCUCCUUAUUACAGUUUAGUAUUCAAUAGGCUGUUUCCAUUAGACUAGGAAGAAGAGGAAGCACAGUCAACAUUGAAUUGAUAGACUUUCAGGGCAAGAAUUAACAUAAAUCUGCAUUUUAUUUUGCAUGAUUAUAAACACUCAUAAAGAUGUCAUGUGACAUGAUAUGUUAGAUUUCAUACAGAAUACAAGCCAUAUUUCUUGCAGGCCAGCAUGAGCAGUGACAGAGUGAAUGUGUGAGUGAGACAGUGGAUGAAUGCAGGAGUGAUGAAUGAAUGGAUCUGUGAUGUGUAUGAAGACUGAUCCAUCUGACUGACUUUCUGCACCCCCCAGCCCCCCCUGCAAACAAACAGGCUCAUUUACUGUAGCUGCAUUGCUGACCACAUCACCGCUGGGGCCCGUAGGCGGCUCUCGACAUCACGGUUAUUACUGAUGUCAUGUCUUCUUUCGCUUUCCCAGGGGGCUUUGCAGUGCUGUCAAGGAUGCUGUUCCCCAGAUGGUGACUUCUACAGGAGUUCCAGUCAGAGGAGGUUUCAAGAGCGAUACUCCACAGGCCUGUCAUGGUUUCCUACCUUCUCACACUCCUCCAUCUCUGCAUCUCCCGCCGUCUU